GGAGAGUUGUCCGAGUGGCUUAAGGAGCACGCUUGGAAAGCGUGUGUACGCCAAAAGUGUACCAAGGGUUCGAAUCCCUUACUCUCCGCCA
rnacentral:tRNA from 1 species